AGCGAACGCUGGCGGCAGGCUUAACACAUGCAAGUCGAGCGGACAUAUCGGGGUCAGCGGCGGACGGGUGAGUAACGCGUGGGAACGUGCCUUCCGGGUCGGAAUAACUCUGGGAAACUAGGGCUAAUACCGGAUACGCGCUAAUGGGGGAAGGUUUACUGCAGGAAGAUCGGCACGCGUCAGAUUAGCUUGUGGGUGGGGUAACGGCAUACCAAGGCGAGGAUCAGUAAAUGGUCAGAGAGGAAGGUCAGCCACACUGGGACUGGGACACGGCCCGGACUCCUACGGGAGGCAGCAGUGGGGGAUAUUGGACCAUCGGGGCAGGGCUGAUCGAGCCAGGCCGGGAGAGUGAUGAAGGCCGUAGAGUUGUAAAGCGCUUGUAUCCGUGACGAUAAUGACGGUACCUGAGGAAUAAGCCCCGGCUAACUUCGUG
rnacentral:rRNA from 1 species